CUAAGUUCAGCGGGUAGUCCUACCUGAUUUGAGGCCAAAUAGUUAAGUCAUGACUCCAAAGAGAUGCAUAGGUUAGAAGCAGACUACAGUCAAUCAACUGGCCACCCCGAGAGAUGUCCUUAGCGAAAUACUUAUUACGCCAAGUCAAACCAGUCAAAUAGACAAAUCCAGCUAAUACAUUUAAGGUGAGCAAGCUGUGA
rnacentral:misc_RNA from 1 species